rnacentral:lncRNA from 1 species
CAGUGGAACAAUUUGACCUUUCAAGAGUAACUUACAAUGAAAUAAUGCUUGCAUUCAAGUAACCUGGAAUGCUCAACUCAACAAGGAUAGUGAAAGAGGGAGUGCCUAUAUAUCAAAUAAAGAAUCAUCAGAUUACAGAAGGAGUUGAGUCAUGAGAGCUUCUGAACUUGACUGGUCCCAGCCCAGAAGUCUGCUUCGAUGACAUGCUUCAUCACUUAUAUACUGCCUGUGUCACUGUUCUAACUAAAACCACUAUCAGCAAAAAUCUAAUGGCCUGAUUUUUAAAGACAAGGUACUAUAGCAGAAUAUAUGCUGAUUUUGGAGAAAGGGAUAUUGCUUUUUCUCUUAUCUUACUAGCUAUUUCCCCCCCAUAUACAUCACUUGACUGCUCUGUGCCUCAGCUUUCUCAGUUGUAAAACAAAUAUAGUAAUACAUAUUCUACCUAACUCAUGGCUUUGAUGUAAGGAAAGCAUUCUGAAAAUUUUUAAAUGCUAAGUAAACAUGAAAAGGCUUAAAAUACUUAGUAAAUUUAGUCCAAUGAAUAUCUCCAAAAUGAAAGAUUUGAGACAGAGUAAUGGGAAGUGUUGGAUUUAGAAUUAGAAAAGAAAUAAGUAUAAAUCCUCACUCCAACAUUUACUAAAUGUGAAUUUGGGCAAAUCACUUCAUGUUUUCAUUUUCUUCUUGAAAAAUAGAGAGUUUAUAGGGCAGCUAGGUGGCACAGUGGAUAGAGCACCAGCCCUGAAGUCAGGAGGAUCCGAG